rnacentral:rRNA from 1 species
AGUUCGGACUGCAGGCUGCAACCCGCCUGCACGAAGCCGGAGUUGCUAGUAAUCGCGAAUCAGAAUGUCGCGGUGAAUGCGUUCCCGGGUCUUGUACACACCGCCCGUCACACCAUGGAAGUUGGGGGGCGCCCAAAGCCGGCAAGCAAAUAUGCUGUCUAAGGCAAAACCAAUGACUGGGGUGAAGUCGUAACAAGGUACC